rnacentral:rRNA from 1 species
UACAGAGGGUGCUAGCGUUAUUCGGAUUCACUGGGCGUAAAGGGUGCGCAGGCGGCCAAGUGUGUGAGGCGUGAAAGCCUGGGGCUUAACUCCAGAAUUGCACCUCAAACUACAUGGCUAGAGCAUUGGAGAGGGUAGCAGAAUUCACGGUGUAGCAGUGAAAUGCGUAGAUAUCGUGAGGAAUACCAGAGGCGAAGGCGGCUACCUGGACAAUUGCUGACGCUCAGGCACGAAAGCGUGGGGAGCGAACAGG